rnacentral:rRNA from 1 species
AUGGACGCUCUGGAGGAGGAUUUCCGCAACCGCGCGCUGCUCGCCUCGGUGCAAGGCCGGCGGCCUGCGGUCUCUCCGGAGGCUUUGGUGCAGGCCCUGGAGCGUGGCUGCGGGGUGGAGAGGCGGCACAUCAGGGUGGAGGUCACUUUUUCGGCCGACUUCUUCAUCUCCUUCGCGUCCACGGAGGACUGCGACCGUGUUUUCUACCAAUCCGGCAAGAUCCGCUGUGCGGGGGCGCCCAUCGCCUUUCAGCGUUGGCACAGGAGUGGCCAAGCUAUGGGUGGAAAGCUCGAGUUCUUCUGCAAGCUGGGUAUCGAGGGCCUGCCAGCGAGCGCCUGGGAGUGGGAUUCGCUCAACCAGCUCAUCAACAGGCUCCAAGGCCAGCUGGUCGAGGUGCUUCCGCAAGAUGACCGCUGGCAGGUCGACGUCACGGCCUGGAUGCGCAACCCCUUAGGCAUCCCCAAGGUGUAUGACUUGGAGAUCCCGGAGCCGGCGGGUCUGCCCGAGGUGGAUAAGGACUGGCAUGUGGCUCCACCGCCGCCGGUCCCGCCCACGGAGCACCGGACCUUGAUUCACCCCCUCACGAUCCAUGUUCUGGACGUGGUGGACCGCACGGUGCCGUACCUGGAGCUCCACCCUAAUUUCGAGCCAGAUGAAGAUUUGACUAGGAGGCAUGACUACUGCCGAAGCUGCUUUAGGGGGCGGAUUGACGGAGAAUGGCGAGGCAAUGAUAUCCGCUCGGGGGGCCACCCAUUUGGAGGGCCGGGCGGUCUGGGCAUUGCUGGUGACUGGGGUGGUCGGCGGGUCAACGGUCUCCUCGCUCCGGCAGGAGGUAUGGAGUUCAGGCCCCAAGCGCGGGCCAUCCUCGGGGAACAAAGUUCUUAG